rnacentral:rRNA from 1 species
UGGGGAAUAUUGGACAAUGGACCAAAAGUCUGAUCCAGCAAUUCUGUGUGCACGAUGAAGUUUUUCGGAAUGUAAAGUGCUUUCAGUUGGGAAGAAGUCAGUGACGGUACCAACAGAAGAAGCGACGGCUAAAUACGUGCCAGCAGCCGCGGUAAUACGUAUGUCGCAAGCGUUAUCCGGAUUUAUUGGGCGUAAAGCGCGUCUAGGCGGCUUAGUAAGUCUGAUGUGAAAAUGCGGGGCUCAACCCCGUAUUGCGUUGGAAACUGCUAAACUAGAGUACUGGAGAGGUAGGCGGAACUACAAGUGUAGAGGUGAAAUUCGUAGAUAUUUGUAGGAAUGCCGAUGGGGAAGCCAGCCUACUGGACAGAUACUGACGCUAAAGCGAGAAAGCGGGGGUGGAAAACA